rnacentral:snRNA from 1 species
UGACUCUGGUUUCUCUUCAUUACGCACAAGCCUUUCGCCUUUUACUAAGACUUCCGUGGAGAGGAACACUUCGAGUUCAACGAUUUUUGGAGCGGCUUUGCUUCUUGGCAGAGC